UCCUCUUCCUCCUCCUCGUCCUCCUCUUCCCUCACGGAGCCCAAACUUCCUCAAGGCGCAGCGCCGGCACCUGCCGGGCUUCCCCGCACUCACCGCUGCGGCGCCGGAGGACGCCCAAGCCAGAGCCCGCCUGCCGACCGCCCGACCGCCGUGCCACACAGAUCGGACAGAUCAAGUUACUCCUUUAAUAAAAGUGAAGGUUUCAGUUUCAUCAGACAAAACAAGAAAGUUAAUGAAAUUGGAAUGGGGCUAUUAAUUGGAUCCUGAAGAAAAAUUCCCAAUGAAUCUUUGGGAAUUUUCAGAAGGAAAAGGGAAUUCUGCCUAUUG